rnacentral:other from 1 species
UGGUAAUUCCUUACAAGUUAAUGAGUUUCAGACUUAAGUAUGAUGUUGUGUUUGCAUAUAGUUCGGUUCUCCGAACUGGAGUAACAAUUAAGUUACUCAUUUACUUCCUGUAUAUAUUAAAACCAUUCUGGUUAAGCGCUGCUCGUUUCGAGCGGCGUUUUUUUU